AUUGAACGCUGGCGGCAUGCCUUACACAUGCAAGUCGAACGGCAGCGGGGGAGAAGCUUGCUUUUCCUGCCGGCGAGUGGCGAACGGGUGAGUAAUACAUCGGAACGUGCCCUGUAGUGGGGGAUAACUAGUCGAAAGAUUAGCUAAUACCGCAUACGACCUGAGGGUGAAAGUGGGGGACCGCAAGGCCUCAUGCUAUAGGAGCGGCCGAUGUCUGAUUAGCUAGUUGGUGGGGUAAAGGCCUACCAAGGCGACGAUCAGUAGCUGGUCUGGGAGGACGAUCAGCCACACUGGGACUGAGAAACGGCCCAGACUCCUACGGGAGGCAGCAGUGGGGAAUUUUGGACAAUGGGCGAAAGCCUGAUCCAGCAAUGCCGCGUGUGUGAAGAAGGCCUUCGGGUUGUAAAGCACUUUUGUCCGGAAAGAAAUGGCUCUGGUUAAUACCUGGGGUCGAUGACGGUACCGGAAGAAUAAGGACCGGCUAACUACGUGCCGGCAGCCGCGGUAAAAC
rnacentral:rRNA from 1 species